CUUCAACGAGCCCAGCCACACGGGCCGUUCGCGAUCCUGGCCGUAGGUGGCCAGGAUCGCCUGCGCCUC
rnacentral:antisense_RNA from 2 species